AAUGCUGCUGGAUUGUCUUGUAAACUAAACCUGAAGAGCUCUCACCCCCAGCGUCUGGUGUACCUUUCAGAGGCUUUGGCUAUCCUGGGCUAGUAAGAGGCCAUUUUCCAAACUAAAGUCUUACAGGAACCACUGGCAUAGAAUGUGAUCCUAAGGACAUUCUCCGUUUUCAUGAUUGUAACGACAGCUUUAUACUGUCUCCCCCUUAGAAGCAUUGUCAUUAGGGAGAAACUUGUAGAACCGCUGAUUCUCCACAUUGAGAGAAGCCAUGUCAGGUGGCUAGGGCAUUUGGUCAAGAUGCCUCCCGGACACCUCCCUGGAGGCCGAACCGGUAGGGGGCCUCAGGGAAGACUCAUCAAAGUGACUGUCUCUCAAGUAGCCUGGGAAUGCUUCGGGAUCUGCUGGGAGGAGCUGGACUGAGUAGCCACAGAGAGGGAAGUCGGGGCCUCCCUGCUUAGGCUGCUGCCCCUGUGACCAAAUCUUGGAUAAACAGAAGAUGAGUGGAGGAAUGGAUGAUUGCAUGGCUGCUUUGGGUUAUGCAACCCCCCAACAGUACAGAUGGAACUGCAGAUUACGCGCCCUGUGUCCUAUGUUUAUUAGUAAUCUCUAUGUGCUAUUUCUACUAGUGAUUACAUAACACUGUGGUGAGUUCACUGACACGCUUCCAUCUCAACUCACACUGGACGCCCCUCGGAAAUUGCCCUACCGCCGUGUGGGCAGGCUCUUGAGAUGUAAGAAAGUAGUGACUAAUGGCGAGUGCCGGAUCUCAAAUUUGCUAUAAACAUCAUCCAGACUGCUCAGACCUCUCCUGCAGUGGAGGGAUUACAGCGCAGUGGAGCAUGCGGAUGAAGAGAUGAUCUUAUUUAUCGUUUUCUUCCGAUUUCUUAUGAGUAUCAUAAACUGCAUGUUUUCUUUUCCUUGCCAUGAGGAAUCAAUAUACGUUUGUCCAUAUGAUUAAAAAAAAAAAAACGAUCAGAUGAUGAGGUCCCCAUACUGGGUGAAUCCAAAUGUACUGACCUUCACAGUCACACAUGCCACUUUGAAGCAGAUCACUGAGCCAAAUCGCAAACGUCUGGCAACGCUCCAGUGACAUGGCAGUGCAGAAGGCCAAAGAGAGUGCAAGAGCUCAGUAGGGACUGGAAAGACUGUAGGAAAAAUAAAUAUUCGACAGCUGCAGAUCUGCUGUGAUAUGAUAGUUGUUAUUAUCCUGGACACUUCAUUUGGCAAACCAGUACACUCUAAUAAGAGCCAUUACAAGAGCUGUGUCAAAAAUUGUGCCUUUGGACGGAUGAUAAUGCUCAGUUUCAUUUACAAUAAAACAAAACGGUCAUUAUUGGACUUAUACAGUAAAUCCUAACUAUUCCAAGACCACAUGUGAAUGCAGAUUCAUUCCGAUUAAUAGAUGCCCGUAAAAACUUCUGUUUUUGACACUCGGCUCACUCCACAACCUCCCAAACAUCCUGUUAGCUUGACGUUCUCCACCAAUUUCAGAUAAACCUUUCCAAUAAAUCAACAUGCAAUGAUUAGAUUAGAUUCCGCUCCAUAACCAUCCCAAUCUCUCUUCAAUGACUGUUUGCUUGGAUAUUGGAGGAAAACAAAAAAAUAUUUCACUGACGGGAGAGUUGUGAAGGUGUGCUUCUCCUGCAGAGACCUUGCUCAAAGGUAAACAAAAAGGGGAACUGUGUGACAAAUUGAGAUUCACACCUUCGCUGUGAAGAAAAUUGGACCUUGCUUCAAUUUUAAUUGACCAACCCUGGUCUCACCUUGUCUACCUGGUUGUGAGGCUAGCGCUACAACCACGCUUCCAUCUGUUGUGGGGCUGUCUCCAUCUCCCCUAGUGUUGGUUUGCGGCCUUGCCACUGGGUUGUCCGAGCUAGCUGUCAAGAAAAACUGUUUCUCCAAGCUGCGUCCACAUAAUCCACACUGCUUGCCACACUGUAUACUGUAUGCAAUAACGACUUACCAUCGAAUAUUAAAUUGUGUUCACCUCGCUGCUAGUUUUGAGGCUGGAUUUGAAGAAAGCCGACUGUAGAAGCUAGUGCUGCUAUAGCAGCAUGAUGCCAACAACUGGUUUCGCAAUGUAUUUUUACAAAAAAAAGUAGUAUUUAUUUAGUUAUGCUUUAUUCCUUAUUUACACAAUUAAUUAUAAGUGACUUAUGAUGAAUGAGAUAGUGUCUAUUUUUAUGGGGAAAAAUACAAUUUGUAGUGUUGCAAAUCCUGAAUUGCAAAUUUGUGGGUAUGCACUGUUGUGCAUCACCACAAGAGCGUUUAUAUUCCGCCACUUUCCCAUAUGAUCUACAUAUAAACAGUAUCUAGUGGUUAGGAUUCUGUUUUGCUACCUACGUUGCUCAGGUGGACUUCCAGUAAGUGGGAUUUGUGGUUUGAGACCCAUCUGUCACCAAAUGCUUGUCGUCUUGGUUCCCCCCCAAAUCUAAAGCCCCAAGCAUUUAACGUAGGAGACCAGCAGCAACACAUGUGUAUGUGCUUAGCCUCUCUGCCUCACAGCCAGGUGAUUCUGGGUUUGACUCUCAGCUGUACCCUCUUUGUGUUGAGUUUGCUUGUUUGUCUUGUGCAUUUUUUUAAUUGGAGACCCUUAAUUGCCCAUUGGUGUCAAUGUUUUUUUUGUCUGUCCAAUCAGUACUCCACCUCUUGUCCAAAGUCGGCUGUGAUGGUCUCUAGCUCACCUGUGUCUUUGAAGACACAUAACUGUGGUAAACGAAUGAAUAAAUGGAUGCAUGAAUGAUGAUGUGUAAAAUGUAAAGCAAAGUGUAAAGCACAUCAAACGGAUUUCAAGGAGUCGAAUUUUCAUUUACCAGAUGACAAUGAUGGAUUUUACAGAACAGCUGCAUGGAUAGCAGGGGGUUGUCGACCUCCAUUGAAAUAAAUGAUGUCUGGAAUGUCAAAAACUAAAACAGCAUUUGAAAGUCAGAUGUUUUCACAAAGCUAUGAGCAAACACGUUGGAGCUGAU